CCCUUAGAUGUUCUGGGCCGCACGCGCGCUACACUGUUCGACGCAGCGAGUCUUAACCUUGACCGAAAGGUUUGGGUAAUCUUCAGCAAAGUCGAACGUGAUGGGGAUCGAUCAUUGCAAUUAUUGAUCGUGAACGAGGAAUUCCUAGUAAGUGCAAGUCAUCAGCUUGCGCUGAUUGCGUCCCUGCCCUUUGUACACACCGCCCGUCGCUACUACCGAUUGAAUGGUUUAGUGAGAUCUCUGGAUUGACGCUGGCUAGGGGGCGACCCUUGGCCAGGCUGUCGAGAAACUGCUCAAACUUGAUCAUUUAGAGGAAGUAAAAGUCGUAACA
rnacentral:rRNA from 1 species